AGGGAAUAUUGGACAAUGGGGGCAACCCUGAUCCAGCAAUGCCGCGUGAGUGAUGAAGGCCUUAGGGUUGUAAAGCUCUUUUACCCGGGAUGAUAAUGACAGUACCGGGAGAAUAAGCUCCGGCUAACUCCGUGCCAGCAGCCGCGGUAAUACGGAGGGAGCUAGCGUUGUUCGGAAUUACUGGGCGUAAAGCGCACGUAGGCGGCUAUUUAAGUCAGAGGUGAAAGCCCGGGGCUCAACCCCGGAACUGCCUUUGAGACUGGAUAGCUUGAAUCCGGGAGAGGUGAGUGGAAUUCCGAGUGUAGAGGUGAAAUUCGUAGAUAUUCGGAAGAACACCAGUGGCGAAGGCGGCUCACUGGACCGGCAUUGACGCUGAGGUGCGAAAGCGUGGGGAGCAAAC
rnacentral:rRNA from 1 species